CACAGUCUUUCCUUUUUUUUUACUUCAUAAAGGAUUCUCCAGCUUUCCGGUGUACAAACAGUGAAGUUACAGUUCAACCCAGUCCCUAUCUGAGUUACCGACUGCCCAAGGAUUUUGUAGACCUGUCUACUGGAGAAGAUGCUCACAAACUCAUAGAUUUUCUUAAACUGAAAAGAAAUCAGCAAGAGGAUGACUGAGUAGAGCCUCUAGUAUUGGAGACGGAGUUAAAGAGGAAACCACCAAGGCUCCAGGAAGCUGCUCAGAGUUCACAGCUUCCUGUGAAUCUAGUUGGGUGGGGUGGGGUGGGCAAUGUGGAUCCUGAUAGCUUUUUAUAUCCAUGUAUAUUAAGCUGGAAAAAAAUGGAGGGGCUUUGCUACUUGUGAAAGUAACAAUAAAUAGAUCUUCAACAUAGGAAACCAUACUGUUCUGAUGAUAAAAUACUUUCUAGGAAAUACCUUGGUCUUUUGCACAGGCUAUUUAGUUUUAUGUUUUUUGUGCUAUUUUUACACCUGUUAGGUGAUGGGCAACUUUGUUUAUACAAAAAUGGGUUCUUUCUUAGUCAUUGGUUUUUUUCAUUGAAAAAAUAGAACCUUAUAUUACUACAGAAAAUAUUUUUCCUAUUUUGAGGACUUCCAUAUAAUUUUUCUGUCAUUUUAGCUUUGGUUUGCGCAUAGCUAAAAUAAUGCAGACUUUUCAAACUAACAAGUCACCAUGAAAAUUCAGUAUAUUAUAACUACUUAAUAUAUGACUUAAUAAAACUGUCACAGAUUUAAUUAUAAUUUGGUCUUUUAAAAAAGUACUGGAAUAUUUGGGAGGUAGAGUCCCUUUUGUAGGCCACCAUGUUAAUGACCUUUCCUCAGUACCCUAAUUGAUGACAGUGAUAUCUAAUUUACUCAGCACUUACUAUAUGCCAGCAUCCUCUGCUAAAUGCUCUUUAUGUAUUAUUUUAUGUCAUGGAGCAGUUCAAAAGAUAUAGUCAUUACAGGUUCCCAGUGUAUCUAAUGUGGUAUCAAAGAAUAUUUACUAGCUGGAGGUAUGAUUCUCAAAUAGAGCACACAGGUAUGUUCCAUAGGAAAAUAGAAUUGGAGCCAAGUUUCCCCUUUCUGUGUAUAAUGAUUUCAGACUCUAGCUUUUGCUGUGAUCUCUUGGGUACAAUCACUUGAUACUAGUAUUUUAAAUAUAAAGUUCAAGUUGUGAUCUCUGUAAUCAGUAUAUCAGAUGCCAUUUCUGAGGCCAGUUAUUUGAGGAAUAGGUACUUCAAAAAUAUUUCUGUUUUUAAAACUGCUUAUGGGUGUCCACUAACUCAUAUUAUGAGUUGAUUUAAGUUUAGAUCUGGAAGCUGGACUUCACUAGCUUAAACAAAAGUAAAUGAAUUUAUACCAAUUGGAAAUAUUCAGACUAUGUAUAAUAAAAAGACUCGAGCAAAAUUUAGCAAAUAUUUCAUAAACAGUAUACUUCUUAGUGUAAAACUCAUUAAAUUUUGCAUUAAUUUUCUUGAAGGUAUAUUGAGUUCAACUCACUUUUUAAGAUAUGAUUUUGUUAUUAUUUCCUUCAUAUAUUUAAUUUUAUUUGGUUAUCCUGGUGUUAAAUACAGGACAAUAUGCAGGAAAUAGUUUAAAUUCAGAUACUUCUUACUCCUGCCUAAAGAUUUGUUUUGAAUUAAUCUAUUUUAUCGGUAUUAACUGUUCUUUCAUUGAGGUACCGCAGGUUUGUGCUUGAACUUAGAAAGUGAAUACAUACGUGAUUCCUUAGUUUGGUCCAGAAAUCCUGCCUCAAGAGAAGACAUUACAGCUGUUGAUUUUGACAGGUUAGGAUAAACACGCUUACUUUGUCCUGCAGGCAGUGGCAUGUAGCAUGAGGCCUCCAAUACAGCUGACUUUACCAAAAGUUCUGUUUUUAAGUCUCUUUGAUAUGUAUUUUCUGAGUUCAUAAAAAUUUCCCAUCUA